AAUGGCCUACCAAGACUGUGAUCUAUAGCUGAUUUGAGAGGAUGAUCAGCCACAUUGGGACUGAACACGGCCCAAACUCCUACGGGAGGCAGCAGUGGGGAAUCUUGCACAAUGGAGGAAACUCUGAUGCAGCGAUGCCGCGUGAGUGAAGAAGGCCUUUGGGUUGUAAAGCUCUUUCGUCGGGGAAGAAAUGACUGUACCCGAAUAAGAAGGU
rnacentral:rRNA from 1 species